rnacentral:rRNA from 1 species
GACGUAGGGUCCAAGCGUUGUCCGGAUUUACUGGGCGUAAAGAGCGCGUAGGCGGCUCGUUAAGUGUGAAGUGAAAUCUCCAGGGCUCAACCCGGAAACUGCUUUACAUACUGGCGAGCUGGAGUGAUGAAGAGGUUUGUGGAAUUCCUGGUGUAACGGUGAAAUGUGUUGAUAUCAGGAGGAACACCCAUGGCGAAGGCAGCAAACUGGUCAUCAACUGACGCUGAGGCGCGAAAGCGUGGGUAGCAAA